CUGUGUGAACGACAUCAUUAAUUUUGAACCCAGGCUGAUUUUUAACAACAUUGCCUGACCUAGUCCCUUACUUCUACCAAUAAGUUCUCGAUGACCGAAUAACGCAGAGGUUUACAUCACUGAUCUGAAGUAUGUUUCGAGACUAGCAGUAGGUUCGAACCUCACUUAAGACAGUAUUUUUUACAUUUUUUAUUUUAUUAAUUUUAGUUUGUUUGUUAUGGUUUUUUACAAAUUUGUGACGUAGCACAAAUAAGAAUUUAUUUAUUCAGUGUGUGUGUUUAAUAUGACAUAGAACCAUGGUGUAUCGUUCGUAGCCCUAAAAUUUUUUAGGUACCAUUUUUUUUAAUAACAUUAAGGUUUUUUUUAUUGUAAUUCGUUUCUUUCUUUUUAAUUUUUAGCUCUGAUUAUACUGUUAGGAGCGAAAGAUGCGUAAACCACUUUUUAAUGAAAAAAAAUUGAGACCGAGACGUUGUGUAGUCUUCAUUAGAUUCUAGACAAAUAUGCAUGGGAGAAAACUAAGCUAAAUUGGAUAAGGUACACCAAGUGCAUUCAAGCCAAAGAUCUGUUAUUACACUUCUUUAGGGCCAAGGCAACACCUCUUAUAGAAAGACCAAUGCGCUAAAAUAAAAUUAAACGUGACGUUAUCACAUUUGGGCCUCGCUUUCAUUUUAUAAUACACCGGCGCGGCGGCGUUGGAAUUCGCAGCCGACCAACACACGACAGUGUGACAGGUGGGGUAUCUUAAUUUUAUCUCAUUACUUUGCGGCUUGUAUACCUAUCUAAAGUAUGGAAAUAUUUAGAACUUCAGUAGGUAUCCGAAGAAUUUGUUAUGGCCUAUUAUUAGGCAUAUAACAGAACUUACGUUAAUUUGUAAAACCGCAUUAAUUUUAUCUGAUGAUAUGGCAAUUCUAUUGGUCAAGAAUUUUUGAAAUAAGAACAUGUAACCUAACUGUAUAUCCCGUUCCUUCAAAUAAACCAAUAACAAUUUGUGGUACACAAGAUACAGUGGACUUCGGAUAUAACAAACCCGUUUAAAGUGAACAUUCGGUUAUAGUAAACGCCUAUUCAAAUAUCCAAAAAAACUACCAUAAGAACUAUGUAAUUUUUUUCCGUUUAUAGCGAACCCGGUUAUAAUGAACUCUCGGGUAAAGUGAACUAAAUUUUAUCAAGGUCAAGAAAAAUAUUUCGCUUAUAGUGAACUUUUCGGGGAAUCCCACGGAAUUCACUUUGCCAAAAUCAACCGUUUGCAUAGUUUGGAAAAAGAGGGAAGAGAUUUUAUCAGCAUAUGGUAAAGUUAAUGCAAAGUGUAAAACACUUAGAAAAUCGGCUCAUGAAGGGGUUGAUAGAGGACUUUUACAGUGGUUUACACAACAAAGAAAGGAAAAUGUUUUAUUAAGUGGUCCCAUUCUUUAAGAAAAAGCUAGUGAAAUGGGUAGUAAAAUUGAAGGACAAACUUUUGAAUGUUCUAGAAGCUGGAUUGAACGUUUUAAGAAGAGACACUAUAUUACUGGAGGGAAAAUUAUUGGUCUGCAUCAGUUGACAUGGAUGUUGUUAAUAACUGGUUUACUACUGUUUGGCCCGAUCUUCGUAAGAAUUACAGCAUUAAUGACAUUUUUAAUGCUGACAAGACCGGACUUUUCUAUAAACUAACCCCAGAUAAAACUUGUUGGAGAAACCUGUGCUGGCGGAAAACUUUCUGAAGUUAAAAUAACAGUGCUAGUCGCUGCAAACAUGUCUGGAACAGAAAAAAGAAAGUUGCUUGUUAUCGGUAAAUCCGCCAAUCCUAGAUGUUUUAAAAACAAAAUGUUGCCAGUUAAAUACAGAGCAAACAGUAAGGCAUGGAUGACAUCUAAUUUGUUUACUGAAGAGUUGCUCCAGUGGGAUGCAGAGUUACAGAAGAACAAGAGGAAAAUAUUACUUUUAGUUGAUAAUUGUCUAGCACAUCCCGAAGUUCCUCUAAACCAUAUUAAAUUGGUCUUUAUGCCUCCUAAUACCAGUUCAAAGCUGCAGCCUAUGGAUCAAGGAGUAAUUCAUUCAUUGAAGAGUCAUACAGAAAAAUAAUGAUAAUAAAAAUGUUACAGGCCAAAUGUUAUUGAUAAUAAACAAGAUUUUUCAGUGAGUCUUUUAUAUGCUGUAGACUUCAUACAUCUAGCUUGGCAGAAAGUAAGUGCAAAAACCAUUGCAAACUGUUUUAAGCAUGCAGGAUUUUUUGAGGUGGAAGAUGAAUUUGAUUCAGACGAUGACUUGCCCCUAAUAAAGAAAAUACUGAUAUUCAAAGAUCCGUUGAAGAGGAAAUAAAAAAAGGAUAAAUGACUUUGACUUGCAAAAAUUCAUUUCUAUUGAUGACCAUGUUAUUUUAACCGAAUCUAUAACAGAGGAGCAGAUUAUCCAGUCAGUUUUAAAAGCAGUAAAUGUAGAAGUCGGAAGUGAUGAUGACGAAAACGAUCCUAAUGAGGAUGUUAAAAUAAAUAUUCCAUCAAUUAGAGAAAUGAUGCAGAAAAUAACGGAAAUACGCACUGUUUUGCAAUCACAUGAAGUUCCAGAAUAAGUCUGAAAUAGUUUUUCUACCCUAGAGGGAUAUAUAAGUAACAUAAGUUUUUCAAACAGACUUAUACAAACCAAGAUUUCUCAGUACAUAUACUAAGUAGUUACAGACACGUAGAUUAUGACUUAGUAGCUAUGUACAUAUUGUAUAUGUGUUAUAAAAACUGUAUGUGCUGUUUAUCCUUAUAAUAAAAGCCAGUUAUA